rnacentral:misc_RNA from 1 species
AGACCGGGCGUCUCUGGUUGGUUGUCGAAUCGUCCGUUUUAUAUCACGCAGGCGAACAGGCGUAUUACGCCUUGAAAAACCUGGUUAAAUAUUUUUGAACGAUCAAUUUCCAAGAAUAUUGAAGCCAGGAAGAACAACCUAUUCUGCUCAGCAUAUUUCAAGUGACUUCUGUUCAUUAGGAUUUUUGUAAGUGAUACUGCCAACAAUCAUCAUAUAUUAUGAUUAGUGCACCCCUUGGACUCGAUACCCCAGAUACAUUCAGUGGAAGUCCUUAUCAUGCGUCUUUGAUUCGACGGCCAAAUUCAAAUCAAAGUGACAGCAUUUCCUCCAUUGGUGGUCAUCCACCCGUGAACCCGGUGUCUCAUGAAUUCAACUCUUUGUCAAGACCCGAUCCCAAAUAUGCGGAUUAUUCCGUUAAACAGAAACGGGUUGAAUCCUACAGGAACUGGCCGCCCUCUGCGAAACAAAAACCAGAUAACUUAGUAGAUGCAGGAUUUUUCUAUACAGGUGAUUAAUGCCUUUUGUUUUGUUUUUUAACAAAAAUCCCCUAAACUACCAUAGGAAAUUUUUGAAAAUGUUAUUUGAUAGUUUGCAAAUAAUAUGGAAUACAGUGGGCUGCAUAUUCGGAGAGAUAUGAAAGAUCAUGUUUGCCGCAUUUUCAUUAUUUGGGAAUUUAAAUGACAACUUUUCUUAACAUUUAAAUUGUAGGGAGAAUUUUUUUUUUUUUUACAAUAUAUUCACUGACAUGCACACAGUUCAGUUGUGGUUUGUGGGAAAAUUGACACCUUUAUAAAAAUUUUCCAGAAUUGUUUAAAAAGCACUUGAUAGCUGAAGUGAAACUUUAGUCAACACUACGUGCCUGACACGCACUAAGUUUGUGGUUAGGAUAACAUCAAUUUAUUAUCAAGUAGAGGCUUGGCUGAUUGUGCAAAACUCGGUUAACAGUAAACACAUGCCAGCAAAUUACAAGGAUUCAAAAAUAGACUUUUAUAUAGCUGAAAUGAUUGGUUGUUUUAAAGAAACGCAGUAUGAAAAAUCAAGAUUAAAUGUUUUAAUUAUUUAAAUCUUCUUAAAUUUCAAAUCAAUACCAACUUGAAAUAAUGUAGACUUUAAAUGUCAGGAUAUAGAUAUCAAGUAUUUUAAAGUAUUAUGAUGAUAAUAUCCGAAUCAAAAUGAUCGAUUAAACAAUUUACAUAAGCUUAAUAAUCAUGUGUUCAUAUAAUUAAUAUUAAGAUUUUAUCAAGUUUCUAGACAUACUUUUAAUUUUUUUUUAUCAUUAUUUAUAUAUACAUUUUCAUAAGAAAGAUAUUUAAAUUUUUAAAAGAAUGCAAGUCGCAGCAAGUGUACAUCAAAACACUAUCUAAUCAUGCACAACAUUUGAUUUACAAAAGCGUAUUUGAUCUACACAUUUUUUGGCAAAUCAAGCACACUUAAAAUGUACGUGUGUUAUGCUAUUAAUAUUUAUAUCCACUCAGAAAGUAUGAUUCCCUCUAUUUCUUACAAUCAAGUUUCUACACGUCAAUCAAGUUAUAACCAGUUAAACGAUUGGUUGAAACCUUCAGCAACCUAAGAAAAAUCAUUGACACACUCACUGCACGAAAUAAUCAUGAUUCAAUGAGCUUUUACAACUUUCUGUGUUAAAAGUAGAUUUGAACCACCUGAUGGCCAUUAAAAUAAUCACAGGGUUUGAUUUUGAACUUUUAUUUUUGUGUGGAUAAGAAUAGUAGACAUCAAAUAGUUUUAUUUUUAAUCAUGACUCAUUGGAAACUUCAAACUUGUAGAUUGCACAAUUAUAAAACUCGUGAGGUUGCUUUUUUAAUAGAGUAUGUAUGGAAUGAGUUCUUGUAAUAUGACUAAAAGGGUAACAAAUUUUUGCAUGGUUAUGCACUAAAAGUUUUGGCUUGCCCAGAAUUUUUUUGAUCAUUUUAAGUUUUAAUGAAUCUGAUGAUAUUUAAAACAUUCUUCUUCAAAGAAAAUGAAAUGACAUAGGUACACUGAAGCUGUUUAAAAAAUUAAGUGAUUUGAAAUCAAUUUUAUACAGUCAUUUUCUACAGCAAGUUUAAAAAAAAUGUUUUUCUAAAUUAAUUUGAUAUAGGUUUUCCACCCUUUAUCAUGUUCAUAAUUUUUUUUUUACAUAAAAUCAAGGCCUGUAGAAAAUUGUAAAGUUUAUAAAUAUUAAUUUCAUGGUCUAAUGACAUAUAAUUCUAGAGAUGCCUCGAUCCAUGCAGUCAUAAAUUUACAUAUUGAACUAAAUCAUGUAAAUGCAGAUACUUGAAAUUGCUCAAUCAUUCAUCAUAAUAUAAUAAAUGUCUGGAAAAUU